rnacentral:rRNA from 1 species
UCCAGACUCCUACGGGAGGCAGCAGUGGGGAAUAUUGCACAAUGGGGGAAACCCUGAUGCAGCGACGCCGCGUGAGUGAUGAAGUAUUUCGGUAUGUAAAGCUCUAUCAGCAGGGAAGAUAAUGACGGUACCUGACUAAGAAGCUCCGGCUAAAUACGUGCCAGCAGCCGCGGUAAUACGUAUGGAGCAAGCGUUAUCCGGAUUUACUGGGUGUAAAGGGAGCGCAGACGGCAGGGCAAGUCUGAUGUGAAAGUCCGGGGCUCAACCCCGGGACUGCAUUGGAAACUGUCCGGCUAGAGUGCAGGAGAGGUAAGUGGAAUUCCUAGUGUAGCGGUGAAAUGCGUAGAUAUUAGGAGGAACACCAGUGGCGAAGGCGGCUUACUGGACUGUAACUGACGUUGAGGCUCGAAAGCGUGGGGAGCAAACAGGAUUAGAUACCCGAGUA